CUGCGAAUCUUCUCAUUGUUCUGAUUUUGUAAUAAUCAGGGCAGGCUAGACCUUCGCUGUAAUAGGACCAUGCGUGUGUCCCAGACCUGCUUCUUUACCUACCAAGGUCUGCUGUAAGAAAUGCCGGUGAUUAAU